rfam:Epilithonimonas sp. FH1 contig02, whole genome shotgun sequence.
ACAUAGCCCCGAUGGGAACGGCAUCCUUUUUUUGCUUUUGAGAAAGUUUUCUUUUGGAUGACCAAUCGUCUGAGCAAAAAAAGAUAUAGUGGACAGCGGGUUGGAAA